UGGGGAAUAUUGGACAAUGGGCGCAAGCCUGAUCCAGCAAUGCCGCGUGUGUGAAGAAGGCCUUCGGGUUGUAAAGCACUUUUAUCAGGAGCGAAAUACUACCGGCUAAUAUCCGGUGGGGCUGACGGUACCUGAGGAAUAAGCACCGGCUAACUUCGUGCCAGCAGCCGCGGUAAUACGAAGGGUGCAAGCGUUAAUCGGAAUUACUGGGCGUAAAGCGUGCGUAGGCGGUUUGUUAAGUCUGCUGUGAAAUCCCCGGGCUCAACCUGGGAAUGGCAGUGGAUACUGGCAAGCUAGAGUGUGUCAGAGGAUGGUGGAAUUCCCGGUGUAGCGGUGAAAUGCGUAGAGAUCGGGAGGAACAUCAGUGGCGAAGGCGGCCAUCUGGGACAACACUGACGCUGAGGCACGAAAGCGUGGGGAGCAAACA
rnacentral:rRNA from 1 species